ensembl:lncRNA
UCCAUAACCUGUUUAUUUCUCUUAGUUUUCAGAUAAGCAAAUCAAAAAUUUCAAAAGCAAGAUACUCUCAAAAGCCCUGCAUUGCCUGUUUCUUACUUUAACAAACUCACGCCUGGAUAUGACUUGAUUCAAAUUUAGCCUUGCCUGUUAUAGGAGUGAUGAUUUCAUCAUGCAGCCUGCAAGUUCAGGAUUUGCCAGAUAAGCUGAGAUCUCCUAACUCCUAAGCAAUCACCUACCACCAUCUUUUCAACCCUUUCUCAGGUUCUCUUCCCAUUCCCUCAAAUAAUUUUACUUCAGCUUCCCCUGGUUUGCCUUUGGGCUUCCUGUGGGACCCCUGUGCAAGCACCUUUUUCUCUUAGCUUCAGUCCAUCUCAGGCAGGAUACCUGGCUAAAACAGCCUGAGCUAGUGCCUUGCCCUGGAUUAGAGAGAGGGAGAUUUAGACACCUAUUAUUGCCCAGUGUAUGAGGCAAGGUAUGCCCAUAACUCUAUGAGGAAACAAGAAGAGAAGGCAAGUCAAAGACUUGCUCCAGGGACUUCCCUGGUGGUCCAGUGGCAAGACUCCACGCUCCCAAUGCAGGAAGCCUGGGUCCAAUCCCUGAUCAGGUAACUAGAUCCCACAUGCCACAAUUAAGAGUUUGCAUGCCGCAACUAAAGAGUCCUCAUGCUGCCCGAGACCUGAUGCAGCCAGAUGGAUAAAAACAUUUGAAGACAACGACAACAAAGGCUUUCUCCAGUCCCUAGAUGUGGAGUACUUAGGCAGCAAGCAUUAGGUUCCGGGUUGGAAACUUACAACCCCCAAAGGAAAGAGAAGAUGAUAAAUACUGUUUCUGAAUUCUUGUAGAAAGCAGAAGUGUACUGCAAGUGGGGAUGUGUUUUCAGCAGCUUUGUUACUCAGUGUGAUCGAGGAACCAGUAGAAUCAGCAUCACCCGGGAGCAUCUCAGGCCCCACCUCAGGUCUUCCAAACCCACAUCUGCAUUUUAAUAAGACCUCAAGGUGACUGGUAUGCACACUGUCUAAGUCUUGUCCGACCCUUUGUGACACAAUGAACUGAAGCCCAUCAGGCUCCUCUGUCUCCGGAAUCCUCCAGGAAAGAAUAUUGGAGUGGGUAGCCAUGCCCUCCUCCAGGGGAUUUUCCUGACCCAGGGAUUGAACCUGUGUCUCAUUUCUCCUGCAUAGGCAGGUGGAUUCUUUACCACUAGCAUCACCUGGGAAGCCCAGUGGCUAAAAAGCAAACAUUUGUUAUGUCAUAAUUUCUAUGAAGCACAAGCUGGAAUCAAGAUUGCCGGGAAAAA